GGGAAUGUAGCUUAGUGGUAGAGUGCUUGCCUAACACGCAUGAAGCUCUGGGUUCAAUUCCUCAGUACCA
rnacentral:tRNA from 1 species